UUCGCAAUGCCCGAAAGGGUGACGAAGCGACGCCGCGUGCGGGAAGAAGGCCUUCGGGUUGUAAACCGCUGUCGGGAGUUAAGAAAUGCAGAGAUGUUAAUAGCGUCUUUGCUUGACUAAGGCUCCGGAGGAAGCCACGGCUAACUCUGUGCCAGCAGCCGCGGUAAUACAGAGGCGGCAAGCGUUGUUCGGAAUUAUUGGGCGUAAAGAGCACGUAGGCGGCUAUGUAAGUCGGUUGUGAAAGCCUUCCGCUCAACGGGAGAACAGCAUCCGAUACUGCAUGGCUUGAGUGCGGGAGGGGAGAGUGGAACUUCUGGUGGAGCGGUGAAAUGCGUAGAUAUCAGAAGGAACGCCGGCGGCGAAAGCGGCUCUCUGGCCCGUAACUGACGCUGAGUGUGCGAAAGCUAGGGGAGCAAACGGGAUUAGAUACCCCGGUAGUCCUAGCCGUAAACGAUGGGCACUAAGUAGAGGGGUUUU
rnacentral:rRNA from 1 species